rnacentral:tRNA from 1 species
GGCGACGAACCCCCGCCUUUGCAAGGCGGGGGUUAGGGGUUCGUUUCCCCUCGUCUCCA